GUAAGACGUGUCGGAAAGAUUCAAACUCAUAUUAAAUUCUCGUAAGUGAAAUACAGAUUAACGUGCAAAAGCUAUGCUUAAAGGAUUCGAAAUUCAACAAGAAUAAGUUAUCACUAUAAUAAAACAGUUGGUAAAAAGAACUUUACUUCCUAAUUUUAAUUUCUCGACUUUAAAGUCGCAGAGAAUAUCGAGAUUAAAACGACACAAUGAAAGUAAUGAAAGCGUUCCAUGUUUUCGUAAUAAUUAUAAUAACGUAUAACCUAAUAUCACUUGGAAUGUCAAAAAAAAUCCAUCCAGCAAGACAUCUUCUGUCUACGGCCGACAUAGGAAUGUCCAAAAGAAUAUCUUCUGCAACACAGCUUCAGUCUAUGACUGACAUAAAAGUAUCAGAAGGAAUAUUUCCAGCAACACAGCUUCCAUCUACGACCAACAUAGGAAUGUCAAAAAGAGUCCGUUCAACAACACAAUUUCCGUCUACGAUCAACAUAGAAAUGUCAGAAAGAGUCCGUCCAACAACAUGUCUUCCGUCUACGACCGACACAGGAAUGUCAGAAAAGGCACCUCCAACAACACAGCUUCCGUCUACGACCAACAUAAAAAUGUCAAAAAGAAUCCGUUCAACAACAUGUCUUCCGUCUACGACUGACGUAGGAAUGCUAGAAAAAGUACCUCCAGUAGCACAGCUUCCGUCUACAACGGAUAUAGGAACGUCAGAAAAAAUAACUCCAACAACACAGCUUCCGUCUACGACCGACAUAGGAAUGUUAGAAAGUACAACUCCAACAACAUACCAUUUUUUUACGCCCUAUUCUCUAUCUAAAUUUUUUGGAAAUAUACGUGUUAUUAUAGACACCCCGCAAUUUAACGUAGUGACCUGCCCAACAGGGCAACUAACAGAUCCACGCGGAAUGUGUCGCAACAGGGAAUAGAGACAAGCAGGGGGUCUAAAUAUUUGAGGCUUGUCACAAAAAUUAUCAAAAUACGAAACCGCAGACGCUAGAAUCAUUGGAUAACGCUAAUGUUAUUGGGUGGAAAGAUGAAAUUACAUAUGCGUGUCGUUCACAAUGACACUAGAGGCGUGCAAUUUGUUAUUCUGCUCCCGCUCGUUCCCGACUGCUCAUGCUGGCGACUCCCGAUGCUGUCGCUGCUCCACAAUGAGUGGAGAAGAUAGAAGCGACGGGAGCUCAUCGGGAAUGAGCUCGAUUUAUCUCGGUCGAAACUGCCGAGUCUCGAGAUUCCCGACUACUCCCGACUCCCGACUAAUCCCGAAACCAACGAAAUGUAGCUUAAAGAUAUGAAAACCGUGCUUCUGACCGAUUCCGAUACUUUUAUAAACCAGUGUCGUUUUACAGAUUUUGCAUUGCACAAAACCAACAGAAACAUUAGUCUGACUAUCAACUAGUAUCAACGUGUCAACGUAUAUACAACGUAUAUCUAUAGUAAUAUACGUAUACAGGGAAAAUGGAAGUAAAAAAGAAUGUUUUAAAGUGAAUAUGUCAUAUUUCUAUACACUCUAUGAUAUUUUUUUCGAAGGGUGAAUUUCUUUGGAGUACGUACGUAUAAACGUAUAUAAAGUUAUUCCAACAAUCACUACUUUUAUCUGUGCCAGGCUUUUCUAUUAAUCAAAUACGUCCAUUUUUAUCUUUUUCGCUAGUUCACUUUUUGUAAAAGAAGACAUUUUUAUGUUAUAUAUAUUGAGCGCUAUACCGUGCGAAUUCUUAAACUCUAAUGUGAUGAUAUUUUCCGCCACACGAGUAUGCGCAUUGUCUGUGUAGAUCAGUAAGAAAUACGAUACAUCGUUACUGCGGCGAAAGAUUUCGAUUCUCGCCAUAUGCCGAUUCUUGACGUGCGCUUGUUUUUCAGAUUUGCGUGUCUAAGAAACAAGCGCACGUGCGGCGAGAAUCAAAGUCUUUUGCCGCAAUAAUGACGUAUCUUAUUUGCAGGGAAGUAA
rnacentral:lncRNA from 1 species